GGAGGAUCUAUAAAAUCGUCUAACGAUGCUCCGUUUAUUGGGUUUGCGCCUCACUGGGGCAAUGGUGCAACCAUUUAUCCGGAAUUACGGCAAGCCCGAGCGUUUUAUGUGGUAAUAUAUUGGGCCAGAAGACCAUGGCAAAGAGUACUUCAAUUUGUUGUUUAUAAGGUGCCAAUCGAAACUCGCCAAAGUACCGAAAGCCAUUUUGGCGGACGGCAAGGAAAUGCCUUUGAUAGGACUUGGAACCUGGAUGGUAAGUGUGCAAUUGCUAUUCCCCACACAUGUCAGCUGGGGGGUACAUUUUUAUAGUUGCGCAUAUCUUCCAUGAGAAUUGAAUUUGUAAAUUUUGCUCAAAAAUACUAGUAGUGUUAGGGAAAUCGAAAACUCCAGUUGUUUUUAUUAUGAUUAAGUUACAAUUGUGUGGCUAUCGGGCUCUCAAAAGAAUAAGAGUCACCGUCCAUGAAUGUUUGCUAUACACCGCAGACCAAAGUACGUAUAGC
rnacentral:lncRNA from 1 species